rnacentral:rRNA from 1 species
GAUGAACGCUGGCGGCGUGCCUAAUACAUGCAAGUCGAGCGAACCACUUCGGUGGAGAGCGGCGAACGGGUGAGUAACACGUAGGUCAUCUACCCAUUAGACGGGGAUAACGUUUGGAAACGAACGCUAAUACCGGAUAGGAUGCAAAUUUAAAGGUGCUUUCGGGCACCGCUAAUGGAUGAGCCUGCGGCGCAUUAGCUAGUUGGUAAGGUAAGAGCUUACCAAGGCGACGAUGCGUAGCCGACCUGAGAGGGUGAACGGCCACACUGGGACUGAGACACGGCCCAGACUCCUACGGGAGGCAGCAGUAGGGAAUCUUCGGCAAUGGACGAAAGUCUGACCGAGCAACGCCGCGUGAAUGAAGAAGGCUUUCGGGUCGUAAAAUUCUGUUAUAAGGGAAGAAAAGUUAGAGUAGGAAAUGGCUCUAAAGUGACGGUACCUUAUGAGAAAGCCACGGCUAACUACGUGCCAGCAGCCGCGGUAAUACGUAGGUGGCAAGCGUUAUCCGGAAUUAUUGGGCGUAAAGAGCGCGCAGGUGGUUGAUUAAGUCUGAUGUGAAAGCCCACGGCUUAACCGUGGAGGGUCAUUGGAAACUGGUCAACUUGAGUGCAGAAGAGGGAAGUGGAAUUCCAUGUGUAGCGGUGAAAUGCGUAGAGAUAUGGAGGAACACCAGUGGCGAAGGCGGCUUCCUGGUCUGUAACUGACACUGAGGCGCGAAAGCGUGGGGAGCAAACAGGAUUAGAUACCCUGGUAGUCCACGCCGUAAACGAUGAGUGCUAAGUGUUGGGGGUCGAACCUCAGUGCUGAAGUUAACGCAUUAAGCACUCCGCCUGGGGAGUACGGUCGCAAGACUG